rnacentral:rRNA from 1 species
GCAUAUCAAUAGCGGAGGAAAAGAAACUAACAAAGGAUUCCCCUAGUAACUGCGAAGUUGAAGAGGGAAAAGCUCAAAUUUAAAAUCUGGCAGCUUCGCUGUCCGAGUUGUAAUUUAGAGAAGUGUUGCCCGCGCUGGACCGUGUACAAGUCUCCUGGAAUGGAGCGUCAUAGAGGGUGAGAAUCCCGUCUUUGACACGGACUCCCAGUGCAUUGUGGUACGCUCUCAAAGAGUCGUGUUGUUUGGGAAUGCAGCACUAAAUGGGUGGUAAAUUCCAUCUAAAGCUAAAUAUUGGCGAGAGACCGAUAGCAAACAAGUACCGUGAGGGAAAGAUGAAAAGAACUUUGGAAAGAGAGUUAAACAGUACGUGAAAUUGUUGAAAGGGAAACGCUUAAAGUCCAGUCGCGUCGGUUGGGAAUCAGUCUCGCUCUUUUGCUUGACGUACUUCCCAGCUGACGGGUCAGCAUCAGUUUUGAUCGUUGGAUAAAGGUUGGAGGAAUGUGGCACCUUCGGGUGUGUUAUAGCCUCUGGUUGUAUACAACGGUUGGGACUGAGGAACUCAGCACGCCGAAAGGCCGGGUACUUGUACCACGUACGUGCUUAGGAUGCUGGCAUAAUGGCUUUAAUCGACCCGUCUUGAAACACGGACCAAGGAGUCUAACAUGCCUGCGAGUAUUUGGGUGGAAAACCCGAGUGCGCAAUGAAAGUGAAAGUUGAGAACUCUUUAGAGUGCAUCGACGCCCGGACCAGACGUUCUCUGACGGAUCCGCGGUAGAGCAUGUAUGUUGGGACCCGAAAGAUGGUGAACUAUGCCUGAAUAGGGUGAAGCCAGAGGAAACUCUGGUGGAGGCUCGUAGCGAUUCUGACGUGCAAAUCGAUCGUCGAAUUUGGGUAUAGGGGGCGAAAGACUAAUCGAACCAUCUAGUAGCUGGUCUGGCGA